rnacentral:lncRNA from 1 species
UUACAGGAUCCAACAUAAAAUAUAUUAAAACAAAUUUUUUAUUAAAAAAACAUUGAACUUCAUCUUCUUCCUUGUAACGAUAACGUAACUUUAUUUUUUUUUAAAUCCAACUUCCUCGUUUUUGUACCAAAUCAAACAUAUGAAUAUAGCAUAUUGCUUAGAAUUUCAUGAGGAAUCCAAAUAUAACAUUAUUUUUCAUUUAUAUUGACUCUAACUCACGAAUUCGAACAAAACCAGAGAAUACCUAAUAUUUCAAAAUGAAAUUAAAUCGCAUAAAAGAUGAAUCAAUGCUCAUUUUCAUGGGGCUUUCAUUCCUCACAUCAUAACAAGCAUAAUGGUAACAAAAAUGAACAUAAAUGAUGCUUAAAUGGUAGAGUUUGAAAUAUGAAAUUUUUACCAAAUGGAGUAUAUCCGUUGUACCUUCAAAUGCACUUCCAGAUAAAAAUAAUGAUCCCUCUAGCUUCCUUGAGUUCCCAGGAGUUAAAUGGUGUGUUUAUAAUUACUUGAAACCUUCUAAAUCGUUCUGAAUGAAUCCACUUGUAAAUGGAAGAAAUGAAGUUUGGUUAUGGAUUUUGAGGUGCUACAACUCAUGUUUAAUGCAUACAAAAGCUUGUGGAAGGUAUAUGGAAGGUGUUUGUGGAGAAAAAAUGGAAGGAAAGUGAAUGAUGAUUAAAAAUUCAAAAAAUGACUUUAGUGGAGUUUUCAAGUUAUGGCACAAAGUGAUUGAGUUUGGAUGAGUUUUUUUUGUUUUCUGGUGUUUCUUCUUUUUUCUCUGUUUAGAUGAUGGAUGGAAUGCUGCAUUUAUAGAGAAUUGGAUUAACAAAGUUGGAGAAAUAUUUGGCAUUGUUCAAUGGAUAUUGAUCAAAAACCAAAAAUAUGGUGAAAGGUACAAGUAGCCUUUUGCUCUAACAUGGUUGCAAGUUGACAUUUUUGAGCUUUUUCUCUUGGUUGGACAAGCUACCUCUAGUAUCCAGAAUGGAUAUCAUAACUUGUUGAAGGAGUUUUUAUCCAAAAUCACUUCUCAUGUAGUGCAUAAAAUGUAAUUCAAGAUGGACCAUUGGAGCAAACUUUUGUUCCUUGAAUAGAGAUCAAUUUGGCUUAAGUUUGGUAUCAAUUUGCAGAUAUCAUGGGAUACUUCAAAUCUUAUGUUGAUAUCAUCAUAGGGAAAUGCUUGAAAAAUGCCCUAAGUUGCCUCCAAAUUUGUGUGAAUCAAACUGACCAAAACACUUAGAAAAAUUCUGGAUUUUUGGCCAUUGAUCAACAACUGUGACCUCCUUUUU